UGGAUUUCAUUUGCCUUUAAUUAAACACAAAGCUGUUACAUAUUUUUCUCUUCUAAUAGCUGCUGGAAGUCUAAGCAUAUGGAAACGAUACCUAUGAAAAUCAAAUGGACAUUUUGGGCUUUGUGGAUCAUUAAAGGUUUACACUUAAAAAUUAUUUUUUAAUUAAAAAAAUAAAAAUUAAUUAAAGGAUGACAAAUACAUUGGGAUGUUACUCAAAAUGAUAAUCCUGUCUGCAGCUCACUUCAGUUAUUCCUUGACUAGUUCUCUCACCGUCCAUAGAUUUUAUCCUCACCAGGAAAUCAUGGCACACUUGCCUAGAUAUCACUGUGCACAUGGGAAAACACUCGCAACGGGCUACAACUGUGCAGAUGACCAUAACUCUUCCUCACCCUGUGAGGAACUCUAGUUUUCUGCAGAACACAAUUUUUCCAUCAGUGUGUAGGGGCAGCAAAGUGACAAUGCCAAAUAUAUAAGGCAAUUUAAAAUUAUUUCACAAAGGUAUUAAAAACAAACACCCACAUUGUGGUUCAAAUCCAGAUGAAGUACCUGGUCCCAGAUGCCAAUGUCCAAACUCAUAAAAACAUAUGACAUGGGCCUGGUGCGGUGGCUCACGCCUGUAAUCCCAGCUCUGCGGGAGGCCAAGGCGGGCAGAUCACGAGGUGAAGAGAUCGAGACCAUCCUGGCCAACAAGGUGAAACCCCACCUGUACUAAAAAUACAAAAAAUUAGCUGGGCGUGGCGGGGCACGCCUGUAUUCCCAGCCACUUGGGAGGGUGAGGCAGGAGAAUCGCUUGAACCUGGGAGGUGGAGGUUGCAGUGAGCUGAGAUCGCACCACUGCACUCCAGCCUGGCAACAGAGCAAAACUCCGUCACACACAUUCACACACACACACACACACACACACACACACACACUAUAUAUAUAUAUAUAUAAAAUGUAUACAUCAUGCCCUAAAAUUUUUAAUAUUUGCAGAAAUGAGGCUGAACCAUAAAUAUACCUUUUGUCUCUUUUUUUUUUUGAGACAGAGUCCCACUCAGUCGCCCAGGCUGGAGUGUAGUGGUUCGAUCUCUGCUCACUGCAAGUUCCGCCUCCUGGGUUCACGCCAUUCUCCUGCCUCAGCCUCCCGAGUAGCUGGGACUACAGGCACCUGCCACCACGCCCAGCUAAUUUUUUGUAUUUUUUACUAGAGACAGGGUUUCACCGGGUUAGCCAGGAUGGUCUUGAUCUCCUGACCUCGUGAUCCACCCGCCUCAGCCUCCCAAAGUGCUGGGAUUACAGGCGUGAGCCACCGCGCCCGGCCAGGGAAAUAAUUAUUGUUUCUUUUUUUCUUUUUAAUUUGACACACGGUCUCAUUCUGUCACCCUGGCUGGAGUACAGUGGCAAGAUAACUCAUUGCAGCCUGGACCUCUUGGUCUCAAGCCAUCCUCCACCCUCAGCCUCCUGAGUAGCUGGCUCUACAAGUGCACAUCACCAUGCCUAGAUACUUUUAAAAAUUUCUUUUUAUAGAGACUGUGUCUCACUAUGUGCCCAGACUGGCCUUGAACUCCUGUGCUCAAGUGAUCCUCCUGCCUCAGCCUCCCGAAGCUUUGGAAUUACAAGUGUGAGCCACUGCCCCUGGUCCUGCCGUUAUUUCUGUAUUACUGCUCACUAUUUCCUAACUCAUGAGCAGUUCUUGAAAUAGUAUUAAAAAAAAAGAAAUAGUAUUUAAGACAUAUUACAUGGUGGAACUAUAAAUGAAUUCAUGAUGAGAUUGUCACUUACUGAAGCCCGAUCCUUUAUUCUGCAUUCCCUAUUAUCUACCUUGUCAAGUUUGAUACUAUACUUUAUUCUGCCUUGAUAUUAUCCAAAAAAAAAAUUUUUUUUUUUUUGAGAUGGAGUCUUACUCUUGUCGCCCAGGCUGGAGUGCAGUGGCGCAAUCUUGGCUCACUGCAACCUCUGCCUCCCGGGUUCAAGCGAUUCUCCUGCCUCAGCCUCCCAAGUAGCUGGGAUUACAGGCGCCUGCCACCACGCCUGGCCAAUUUUUUGUAUUUUUAGUAGAGACAAGGUUUCACCAUGUUCACCAUGUUGGCCAGCGUGGUCUCGAACUCCUCACAUCAGGUGAUCCACCCGCCUCGGUGGGUCCUGGGAUUACAGGCGUGAGCCAUUGCUACUGGGCUCCAAUAAAGUUUAAACUUGUUUUAUUAGUUAUCUUUUUAUGUCUUUUGCUAGACUUAUUUAAUACUUAAAUUUAUAAAACCGUUACGUAAGUUUUUGUCAUUAUGAAUAAACAAGAAUUUAUUAGGCUGGGCGCGGUGGCUCACAAGUAUCAUUUUUAAAGUCACCAUGUUGAUUUGGCAAUUUUCAAUAUUUUAAUACAUUCUCCCAGUAAAUAAAAAACAGAGAUUGACAUUUGUUAGUAUACAACUUAUUUGAAAAACUCAGUUAAAUAGGCUAUUUCUAAGAAACAUUUUAUCCAUUUGUAUAGAAUCCAACUUCUUUAAAAACACAAACACAGUAAAUAGAUAUUUCUCAGAAACAGAAACUUUUGUUUUAAUAAUACAUAAUCAAACAUAAUAACUGAACACAUACUGAGAGAUUGUAUUCAGCUCUAUGUGACAGGAAAUUUCCAGAGUUUACCUGAUAAGCCAGUAUUGUCUUUCAUUUUCUCAUGAAAGGUAAGAUUUAUCUCACGAAGAAUACUAGGUCACAGUAGAUGCAGUAGGGAAACAAUCCCCUGUGCUUUUUUAAAAAAUUAUUCUUUAUUUAUUUAUUUUUGAGACAGAGUCUCGCUCUUUCGCCCAGGCUGGAGUACAGUGGCACGAUUCCAGCUCACUGCAAGCUUCGCCUCCCAGGUUCACGCCAUCCUCCUGCCUCAGCCUCCCGAGUAGCUGGGACUACAGGCGCCCGCCACCACACCUGGCUAAUUUUUUGUAUUUUUAGUAGAGACGGGGUUUCACCAUGAUAGCCAGGAUGGUCUCGAUUUCCUGACCUCGUGAUCCGCCCACCUCAGCCUCCCAAAGUGCUGGGAUUACAGGCGUGAGUCACCGCGCCCAGCCGCAAUCCCCUGUGUUUUUAUGGUUGUACCAUUGUAUCUGUCAUGGAAGCAGGAACACAGAAGCACAAGAAAUACUGAGACAAUGAGGUAUUAAGAUAAUGAUAAUAUGGCCAGGCAUAGUGGCUCACACCUGUAAUCCCAGCACUUUGGGAGGCCAAGGCGGGCAGAUUUCAGGAGUUUGAGACCACCCUGGCCAACAUGGUGAAACCCCGUCUCUACUAAAAAUACAAAAAUUAGCUGGACAUGGUGGUGCAUGCCUAUAGUCCCAGCUACUUGGGAGGCUGAGGCAGGAGAAUCGCUUGAAACCGGGAGGCGGAAGUUGCAGUGAGCCGAGAUCGUGCCGUUGCACUCCAGCUUGGGCAACAUAACAGGACUCUGUCUCAAAAAAGAAAAAGAAAAAAAACCCAAAAAAACCUAUUUUCCAAUUCCAACCCAGAAGCCAGGUCAAAGAGCAAACAGCAACAGAUGAAAAAAAUAGUUCCCACGAGACUACACUCCUCCAAGAAUUUGCAUGCAUACGUAUUUCUACCAACUACCUAUUAGUCCACAAGCAAAAUGAAGAAGGAUUCUCUGACCAAUAGCAUAAAGCCACUGAAUUACUUGCCUGUAUAAGUAGAAAGUAUUAACAUUAAAAAUAGUUUUUCCCUGUAAAAUGGAAAGGUGGAAUAAAAGUAACAUGGUAGUAAUAUCCAGCUUGGAACACACAGGGCCAGUCAGAAAAUGUCAACAAACACCCAUAUUUCAUUGGUCUAAUGGCCUCACACGGAGUAACAAAAAAAAUAUAUAAAAAUUAAAGUUAAUGCAUAUUAAAAUACAUCAGAUCACCCAUGGGUGCAAUACACUUCUAAAUGAAAAGAGAAACAUUAGUAAUUUAUAAGAAAAAACCAUUAUGUAUCAAAAUUUCAGUACUAUAGGUGAGAGAGGACUUACAGGAUUCUCCCCUCAACUUUACCUGCAAGAGAACUGCAAAUUCAUUUGCUAGAGGCCCACUUUUAGGAUGUGGUCCUGAUAAAGGCAAUACCAUAUUUAUAAACGUCAUGAGAUUCUUCUCCUGCCAUGAAUUUUCUUUUUUUGGAGAUGGAGUCUCGCUCUGUCACCCAGGCUGGAGUGCAGUGGUGCCAUCUCGGCUC
rnacentral:lncRNA from 10 species